rnacentral:ribozyme from 1 species
CACUGUCAUGCCGUUACGUAGCGGGCGUCC